UACGUAGGGUGCAAGCGUUGAUCCGGAAUUAUUGGGCGUAAAGAGCUCGUAGGCGGUUUGUCGCGUCUGCUGUGAAAACUCAGGGCUUAACCCUGAGCCUGCAGUGGGUACGGGCAGACUAGAGUGUGGUAGGGGAUGAUCGGAAUUCCGUGGUGUAAGCGGUGGAAUGCGCAGAUAUCAGGAGGAACACGGUGGCAAGGCGGAUC
rnacentral:rRNA from 1 species